UUCUGGUUCUUUAUUGCUCCCGUUGUUGAUACAUAAAGCCCGUAUUUAUAAUGGGCCUGAUUGGGUUAAAACUCUCACAGAGACUACUAAUGAGGCCUGUACGCUGGGCUCUCACACACAUGUGGAUAAGGAUUAGCUAGGGAUUUUGAUUGUUUCUCACGCCAUUGUUUUCGGCUGGCAGUAUCAUCAGCGCCCGUCCGGUCCCUGCAUUAAAGCAGGUAAAACAAUGGCUUUAGAUCACAUAUUAAAAAAAUAAAAUAUAGGCCACAUAUUUCAAAAUUAACUGCAGCUCAAAUGGUUACAUAGGAGAAGUUAGUGAUCUUCUUUCCUAUGGCUCAAGCUACGAACUCAUUUUGCUAUAAUUGUUUUGCUAACUUACUAUAAAGGCCACACUACUUUUGACAUGCUUUAAACCUCAAAUUUUUUUGGGACGGCACUGAUCAGCGAUGUGGUUUAUCCAUUCACAAUAUUCGCUAUUGAAGUUGGAAGAGAUUACUUAAAAACUCAUCCAACUUAGUAUUUACAACGAGAAAAACAAUUACAGUACCCCUUUUUUUUUGUUCAACAACAAUCACAAUAUUUACAGCGAGAAAAACAAUCACAAUACUUAAAAAGCGAAAUAUGUUGGAGGUAAGUUUCACUCUACUCUACUCCAAUCCUAGUCUAAGAAUUCAGCUUAAUAGUGCAAAGACUCGACAACAUGAUAAUAGGACCAUGAAGAAUGAAGGCCCAUCCCAAGCUCUAGAAAAAGUCAAUGUCGUCGUAGAUCAUAUUAUAGCCUUCUCCAAAUAGUUAUAAAGAAACGACAAAUGAGAAGGAGAGGAGAGUUCCAAGUCUCAUACAUCAAAGCCAUAUAUAAAUGGCUUUCGUGUUCACUUGUAUUUUUUAUAUCAUUUGUUCAUCGUUGUUGUAUAAGCUAAAAGAUCAAUAAUUUUUUUUUUCGUACGGUCUAUAAGCAGUUUUUUAAUUAUUGUUUUUUAUGCGUUGUAUAAAACUAACUCUAAUUUUUUAGUGAAUUUUGAGAUUCAUCUAAUUCUACUCUUUAGCGGUGGCUAAUUUAGAAUCCCUCGGAUAACAUAAAGGGAGAUAUAUGAUUUAUUUGUGUUUGCAUUUUACGAGAGGUCUAACUACUUUAACUCUUCAGUAAUAUUUAUACAUUGAUUGAUAUAUUAACAAUAACAAAAGGUUAAAUUCAAAAUUCAAGUUCUUUCUCUCCUCUUUUUAGAAAGAGUAAAAUUAUCUCAUGUUCUCUCAUCUCUAUCUUACACAGGAGAUGAAUUUUCAGAGGCUAGAGACUUUCUUUUGUUGUAAAAUAACUCUUCCAUUUUUAGAUCCAUUUUGUUCUUCUCAUUAGGUGAUUUGGAGAGGAGUCAGAAGAACUGGAGCUUCCUAUCGGCAUCGUUCUAACAAGGCUUUAUCUCGUUCACUCUAUAGCUAUUCCUUGAUCUUAACUCUAGCGACCGGAGGAGAUGUUCUAUCUGAUCGGCGGCGAGUGAAGGUUGGAGAGCAUGCAAGUAGAUUCAGGCGAAUCGACGUUGGAGAUUGACGGUUCAUUUGUAUAGCUUACCGGCGACCCUUCCUCUCACCUCGGUUAUGGAAACAACAAAGCCAAGCCACGGAGGCGGACACGUGGAUCACAUGCAUUCAUCAUUAUAUAUUUUUCAGUCUUCGUUUGGGCUUAAUUUGUUUUGCAUUUUAGCUUGAUCUGCUUAUAAAACAAUAUGCCUAUUGGGAUUUAAUACAAUAAGUUGACAACAAAUAAUAAUGGGAAAAUAGGCUUUAAAA